CAUAGUCAAAAAUCAAAAUAGUUGUCAUUUUAUUGAAUUUUUUCUUUCUUUUUUUCUCUAUAAGAGAUCUGAAAUUCAAUGGCCAUGGAAGAGAGGGACUGGCAGAAGAGAGUGAGCAUACACAUAUAAUUAUAUAAACAUGUUUACAUAAUUCUUUUGAUAUAUAUAUAUAUAAUUUUGCGUGUGCUCACUUCUCUUUCUGUCAAUCUCUCUUAGAAGAAUCAAUUCAAAUAGUACGUAAACCAGAUUUAGAUUGUACCGCGAGAUUUAUUUCUAUUGUGUUGAAGGAAGAAAUAUAAUGAGUCAAACCCUAGUGGAAAAGGAUCGAAUUGGCCUAACCUAUGAUGUAUCGCCAGGUAGACUUAUACGUUUUAAUUAUCGAAUUCUGUUAGUGAAAAUUCGUUAAAUAAAUGUUAUCUACGAGUAAUUUUUCGAGUAGAGAUAUUAUUGUAUACUUCCUCUUCUAUACGAAGAAAGAUAGAGAAUAAUUAUUUCGAAUCAAAUUUAGAACUUGCUUCGAUAUGAUAGAAAUCUCUCUAUUAGAGACCUAUAGAUUGAUGAUUUCAUAAUUCAUGUGAUAAUAUAUUUAUAUAUUUUAAAUUUUCGAUUUAGUUGAACUCUCAGAACCUUUAUAGAAAAAUGUGAUAAAAAAGGAUGGAGACAAUGAAUUUAGGUAGUAAAAAAGAUUGUACCUUUUAAGGUAUCACCCUAGACAUAGACAUGACACUAACCAGAAAAUUUUUUUUACAUUUGACUAUGAAACAAUAUUUUUUUUUAAUAAUAUUAUCAUUUACAAAGUUUAAAUCUUUAUUAUUUUAGUAUAUUUUUUUUUGGGAAAAUAUCUAGCAGCAGCAAAUCAAGAAAAGUAAAGUUUCCAGUUUUGAGGUUUUAUGGAUUUGUAAGGUAAUCCUGUUUACUGUUCUCAUUAUAACAGAAAAAAAAACUGCAAAUAUUCAUAUUUUUAUUUAUAUUUGAGAAUUAAUUUGAUAUUAUGAAUGGAGGGCGUAUCAAAAACAAUCUCUAUACUCUUAUACAGAGUUAAUAGGGUGAGAUUUGCCUGCAUCUAUCUUUUGUAGAGUUUCAUUCGUGGAGUUACACUGAGUAUUCACGGAGUAAAGUAGGGAAAAAGGGUAUAUUCGAAUCUUUUUUAGUGAAAAAUUAUAGUAUUUAUAUAUGUGAUCAAAGUUAUCUUUUAUGCAUAUUAUAUAUAUAUAUAUAUAUAUAUAUAUAUAUAUAUAUUUUGGAUCUUUGAAUGUUUACUUUUCAUAUUUUGAACUUCGUUGUGAAAAUUCUGGAGCCGCCACCGACACUUGUAUGUAGGAUGACAUGAAAUCUGUGUUGUAAGUUGAUUUGUUUAUUGAAAUGCUAAGGAUUUGCUUAGUUUUUAUAUGUGGGAUCAUGUUAUAUUUUAUGUAGGUUUUGAUGAGCUACUUUAGUCUCAAUAUUAUGAAGUAAUUAUAUAUGUUUUUUUGGUUCUUUUGUAGAGGGCAAGGAAGAAAAUUAGUAAAGAUUACAACUUUGAAUAUUGCUAUCAAUGGAAGUUGAAAAAGUUCCUCUUACAGGUUAGGAGUUUUUUUUCAAAUUGUGAGGUUUUGUUUGUAUUUGAUAAAUUUUGAAGUUUAUAAUGUGGUUUAGGUUUCAAUUCUAAUGGUUAUAUUGUGUUUUGGGCUAUGUAGCUCGGAAUUUCCAAAAAUGUUAUAUUGUACUCGUGUCGAAUCCCCUAAAAGUGAUGUCUGACACGCGCGCGUUGACAUUUUUGAAGAGUUCAAGCAUAUCAUAUAAUGUGGUUUAGGUUUCAAUUCUAAUGGUUAUGUUGUGUUUUUGGCUAUAUAGCUUGGAAUUUCUAUUUAUGUUGUUGUACUCGUGUCGAAUCCCUUAAAAGUGAUGUCUGACACGCACUCGUUGACAUUCUUGAAGAGUUCAAGCAUAUCAUAUAAUCCUUAAUGAUAUCGGUUAGUUUCAAGUUUGUAUCUUUGGAUAUUGGGUGAUUGGGUAUGAAGUGAUAACUUUGUUUCAAACAGAUCUAUUUUGAGUAGUCAAGAUUUGGGGAUUUUUGUUUUUGGUGGAAUUAGUGAUACCAUAGAGAUGUGUUACUGUAACUUGAGGCAGUAAAGAUGUUAUCUUUUCGAAAUUAAUCGAGAGAUAUGUUACAUAGGGGGACUUCGCGAGGACCUAGUAUUAGCAUUUUGCAUAGAAAAGCAAUUUUUGGAGUAGACGCGGAGAAAGAUUCAGGAUGUAAGCUUUCUAGGUUCAGCCUGUUUAAGAUUUUUAUCAUUGAACCCUUUGUAGUUUUUACACGUAAGGAAGUAUUGUGUUCAGAUGAACCUGUUGUUAAAUAGAUGUAUCUGUAUAGGUUAUUAUUAAGUUACGUGAUCAUAGUUUUUAUAUAAGUGAUUCUAUUUCCUUCUUAUUGAUGCUUUCAAAUGAGAAAUGAAACAUUGCAGUGACGUGCUUACGUUCAGUUCAUAUAAGGUAGGUUUCUCCGAAAGCAAUAUUAGAGUUAUUUUCUACAUAAUAUGAUAAGGUUUUGAUUUGUUGUGACAAUAUGUAGAGUCUCCAACAAUUUCUGAACUCAAAUUGCACUAUGAAUGAGGCUAAAUGGGACAUUAUUAUCUUUGAAAGUAGAAACACUCGAAGAGUUUCUUGUUUGAACACAAAGUAAAUGUCGAGUCUUCCAUAAGAAACACAAAACCAGUAGUACUCAUUUGAUUCACCCCUUUCAGUGUUGCCAUUUGCCAACAAAGUUCGAAAAUAUGGAGAAAGUCAAUAGUCUAUAAUUGAUUUAAUCACCUUUGACAUAUCGAUGAGUCAAGAGUACGUUCUUCCAUCAAUCAUCCAAGUUCUUAUGUACUCUUUAAGUAAGUGUUAUCCUGCAAAACACUUAAAAGAUCUAUAUAAUGGCUUUGAAUAAUCAAACUAAUACACUAUACGAUAUAUAUAAAGUCCAACUCGAAAGUAUUCUCCCUAAAAUAUCGCGGAGGGGAAAUGGUAAAAAGUAGAAGGUUAGAAGGAAGAAACAUAUGUAGAGUUGAUAUUUCCUCUUCUUGCUUGAUUUGCUCCAAUGAACCGAAAAAUGUAAAGUAAAUUAAAUUAAUCUACUUCAUUUGUUAAACUUCCGUCUUAGCUUGGGACUUCAUCAAAAGACGAAAAUCUUGUUAGCCAUAGAAAAUAUAUGACUUACUUGAUCAAAGUCUUGAUAUAAAUGAGUUUGAAUUCUUUCUUAUCGAUGCAUCUUCGAAUGAAAUAGGACCUUGGAUUGAUUUUGUUACUUCAUUCAUGAUAUAAUAGCUUUCCUCCUGAAGAAAUAACAUAGUUAUCAUUUCUCGUGUCUAAGGAUGUUCAUGGUUCGGUCUGAUUCAGUAGUAUCGCAUUUCUUAGUGAUUACUUUGUUCAGACUCCAGAUAGAUCUAAUUUGACUAAUUAAAAAUUUGGGGAUUUGGUUUUGAUUGAACAAAUAUAGCAUUAAGAAUCAACUAAAUCUUGCCCUCUACUUCAAUGCCUUACUAAAUAUGUCAGUGAAGUGAUCAUAGUUACUUGAAGUGAAUUCUACUUCUUUCUUCUUGAUGCUUCCGGAUUACGUAGAAUAUUGUAUCGAUGAUAUAUUGUUGUUGUGUCUUCCAUGAAAUAGUAGCCAGUGGUACUCUUGCGAUCAUAUACUGUUGCUUGUGCGAUUUCAUUCGUGACAUGCUAUUCUGCUUUAGAGUUUUCUUGUAUCUAGCUUGUAUAAACUUCAUGAGUCCAAUGCUAAGAUAUUUGAAGAUAUGUGAUUACUGUCAUCACUUGCUUGAUUUCACCAACAUAUGUACUAGCUCACCGGGUAACUUUGUCCACCAAGAUUUAACAAAUGAGAGCAAAACACCUUGCCUCCACGGAGGUAUGAACCUGAGAUCUCGUAGUUCUCCUCUCACUUUAUUGACCACAAUUAAGCACACCGUACCCUUGGUGAAAUUAUUGAUAGUUGUGGUUGUCGUUUACAUGGUAUGUGACACCACACAAUGUUGACUAGUGUUGAGCCAGGAGAAAUUCCAUUGGAUCAUUAUAGCGCUCGUUGAACAGUUGAGCAGAAAUGAAAAGGUUAUAAGAAAGUAGAAAACCCGUAUCAAUCGAUCUCCAUAGGAGACAACAUGAGCAAAAAGGACGAGAAUACCUCCGUUUCCAUCUUGUUUAUCAAAAAGUGUUCUUAUGUGCAUAAAUGGUAAAAGUUGAAAUCCAUGGUCUUGACGAAGCUUUAAUUCCUAUAAGGGCUUCUUUCAGUUUCAAAACUUAGUCUUUAUACUCUUUGGUUAUGAGAAAUCGGUUGGUAUAUUAUUCAACAAGAUGUUUCGGAUGAUUAAAGAAGAUAUAGUAGGUUGUUAAAGGAGAUUUGGUAAGUGUUUACACAAACUAUGUUGCUCGGACUCUUUAAAAAGAGUAGCAGGUACCUGUUGGAUCCUCCAAAAGUAGUGUAUUUUCGGAGGAUCCAACACGUUUGCGGCAUCAACUUUGGAGAGUCUGAGCAACAUAGUGCACAAAUGAUGAUUUCUAAUAAGUUAUUAGUUCAAGCAACAGCUGAUGUAUGAUGUAACUUAAUAAAUAUCCAUACUCAUACUUGUUUCUCCAUUUUUCUUUCUUGCCUUUUCGUUCUUUCUUAAUAAUCAGGGCGUUGAAAAGAUCGAAGGCAUGUGACUGAACUUGUAGUGCAGAUCGUCAACGUCCUGAUUUUCAUCGUGUUGAGUUGAGUUGGAUAUGGGGGAGAAAAGCUUGUUGGUUUGAAGUUGAAAGAUAGCCGAUUUACACAACUUUGGCAAGGCUCCAACAUUUAUAUAUAGUCGGAGUACUAAUUAUCCGGCUGUUUUGCUUUCUUGCUGUUUGAUUUGUUUCACUGUGACAGGUUGUAGUAAGGUUGAUUUGUUUCGUCAACCUUUUCCAAUCACAGAAGCUACUAAGGACCCCGGAUUUUUCAGGUGCAAGCAUCUGUAGUCUUAACUGACUCAUACACCUCGAAUUGGUCUCCAGAGCUUCGUCAAUGUAUAGAAGACGUGCAAUGCAGAUGAAUGUACUUACAGAGAUCAAUGAGUAAGAUAUCCAAUGUUGCGCGGAGCUUGGUAUAAAUGAGGCUGGGGGAGUUUCUGUAGUCUGGUUCUCUUGCCUGGAUAGGCCUUUGGGACGGAGCUAGCAUGAGAAGUACGGGUUUGAGUUACUUUGGAGCAAAUCAUGUAUGUUCGUUCAUUGAAUAUCUUUAAAUUUUGAAUUCACCUCUACUCGUAAACAUAGUGUAUGAUCCAAUUUACAGAUAAGAUUGUGAGUUGUAUGUCAAAUUUCACUUCUUAUUUAACUGGUGUGUGUUGUUCAAGUGUUCUUGAUGAGUAACUUUUUAUUAUUGUUGUAUUCUAAGUCAUAUAAAUUCAUAGGUAUAUUUUUUUCCCCUUGUUUCCUAUUUUCAUUUCUUUGAAUGGACUAAUUUUACGAAGUAUUUUGCUACUUUCCAUCAACACAUGAAAUAUCUUUAGCGCUUUGUUUAUUUUCCCUCAAGUGAAGUCUGAAAAGGAUGGAGUACGUGCAAAACUUAACCUAUCUUAACGAAACAAAAGAGAUUAUUUUCAAAAAAUUCUUGACGUUAAGUUUAUAAUAGUGUCAAUAAUGGAUACAAAGUGAGGAUAGGUUAAAAGUGCUGUUGAAUUAUCAGGCCAUGGCCUAACAAAGAAAAGCAAUUGCCAUCAUACCAACAAAGUGGAUAAUACACACCAGAUAAAAAAACAAAAGACAUUAAGCUAUCUUUUCGGGGUCCAAUAUAGAUAUCAAACACCGAUUAGAAAAUGAGCAACCAAUUCUCAAGAAGCCAAUAUACCUUUUACAAGCUGCUAACAUAUAUACAAUCUUUACUAUGUUCUCUUAACACAUGUAUUCUAGAGACCUUCAGAAUUCAGUCACAAUCUCAACAAUACAUGUCCAUUCAUCGCAAAGGAUUCAAUCUAGCCACAAGUUCACAUACAGGCUAUCUUGUUACGACUUCACCCCACUCGAAGACCAAAUAGUGGUCACCAAAUUUGACUACUUUUUGUAAUGAAG
rnacentral:lncRNA from 1 species